AACAGGCAAAGCUGAAAAGGAAGUGUCUAGACUGCUUAUUAUUCUAGGUUCUUUCAGUUCUUGCAGAAAAUGCUUCCUGUUUAACCACUCUCUUCUCUCAUAUCCACAUAUUUAUAUAUGGUUUUAUGUACUUACAUGAAAACCAACCCAUCCCAAGCUGACCUAACUGGUUCUCAUUUGGAGGUGGUAGAAAGGGGGUGACUGUAAUUGCUGUCCAGCCUUGGGGAUGGCCAGUACAGGGAACCUGUAGGUGUCUUGAGAAACUGCUGUGCAGAAAUACAAGCUGAUGUAAAUCUGUAUCACUAAAUGAGUGCAAUGGAAAAAUGUACAUUUUGCAAAUAUGUUAGCAUUUGUACAAAACCUAGGAAAUGCCUUUUCCAAGGUUUGAGAAAUAAUUUUAAAUCCAGAAAGCUGACUACUCUGACCAGAUAUAUCUGUUGAAAGCUGAAGGGAUAGGCUGUGGGCACCCUGGGUGCUCUUCCAGCCUGUCCCACCAGGAGGUUGGAUUAGUCCAGCUCCAGAGCUCAAGCAUAUACACAGUUAUCUUCUAUUCCCAGCAAAUAGCUGGGAGCCUACAGCGUGGUCAGCAGCUUGAAAGGGAAGAUCCCAGUGGAGAAGCAGAGUGUAGGACUUCCUAUCACAACGUUCACCAUCAGAGCAUGCUAGUGUGCCUGCUUUCCAGCUGUGCUCCUGAGGUGCAUGGCCUAUUUUUAAAGGCUGCAAAAGGCAGCUGCUGAUCAUUCCGAAUACAUUGAACUGAGUAGCUCCUUUGGAGUCAGGCUCUGCUAGCUCACUCUCUUGGGGCAUAUAACUUCUUGAAACCUGCAAUGGCCAGGCCAAGUGGCAGUCAGGGCAUGAGCUCCCUUGCCCCCUCUUAGCUCCAUGGCCAGCAGUCUGGCAGUUCAUUCUCUGUGGGCGGCCUUUUGCAUCACUGCACUGAUCCCAUGCCACUUGAAACCAGAUCCACCCAGCAACUGGGACCCGUUACUCUCUCAAGAAGGUCUUCCAGGAUCUAAAAAUACCAAUCCAGCACAGUGGACACACGUCUGGAUCACUAGACAAGGCCUUUUCUCCUGCUACUAACACUGAAGCAGUGAAAAACUAAAAAAUGUCUACAUGCAAAGAAAGCACUUUCUGAGGAAUCCUCAGCCAUGAGCAGGAGCUACAUUAUAGCGAGGCAUUACUGUGAUGGUCAAUGGAACAACUUGAGUGCUGCAGGGAGAAGCAUCUCAGGCUCUCUUGCCACUACUGUCUCUCCAGAAAAAU
ensembl:lncRNA